GAUGAACGCUGGCGGCGUGCCUAAUACAUGCCAGUCGAGCGAACGGACGAGAAGCUUGCUUCUCUGAUGUUAGCGGCGGACGGGUGAGUAACACGUGGAUAACCUACCUAUAAGACUGGGAUAACUUCGGGAAACCGUAGCUAAUACCGGAUAAUAUUUUGAACCGCAUGGUUCAAAAGUGAAAGACGGUCUUGCUGUCACUUAUAGAUGGAUCCGCGCUGCAUUAGCUAGUUGGUAAGGUAACGGCUUACCAAGGCAACGAUGCAUAGCCGACCUGAGAGGGUGAUCGGCCACACUGGAACUGAGACACGGUCCAGACUCCUACGGGAGGCAGCAGUAGGGAAUCUUCCGCAAUGGGCGAAAGCCUGACGGAGCAACGCCGCGUGAGUGAUGAAGGUCUUCGGAUCGUAAAACUCUGUUAUUAGGGAAGAACAUAUGUGCAAGUAACUGUGCACAUCUUGACGGUACCUAAUCAGAAAGCCACGGCUAACUACGUG
rnacentral:rRNA from 1 species